AUUGAACGCUGGCGGCAUGCCUUACACAUGCAAGUCGAACGGCAGCACGGGAGCAAUCCUGGUGGCGAGCGGCGAACGGGUGAGUAAUACAUCGGAACGUGCCCAAUCGUGGGGGGUAACGUAGCGAAAGCUACGCUAAUACCGCAUGCGAUCUACGGAUGAAAGCAGGGGAUCGCAAGACCUUGCGCGAAUGGAGCGGCCGAUGGCAGAUUAGGUAGUUGGUGGGGUAAAGGCCUACCAAGCCGACGAUCUGUAGCUGGUCUGAGAGGACGACCAGCCACACUGGGACUGAGACACGGCCCAGACUCCUACGGGAGGCAGCAGUGGGGAAUUUUGGACAAUGGGCGCAAGCCUGAUCCAGCCAUGCCGCGUGCAGGAUGAAGGCCUUCGGGUUGUAAACUGCUUUUGUACGGAACGAAACGGCGCUUUCUAAUACAGAGCGCUAAUGACGGUACCGUAAGAAUAAGCACCGGCUAACUACGUGCCAGCAGCCGCGGUAAGAC
rnacentral:rRNA from 1 species